GACGAACGCUGGCGGCGUGCUUAACACAUGCAAGUCGAACGACGUGGCGAACGGGUGAGUAACGCGUAAUCAACCUGCCCUUCAGAGGGGGACAACAGUUGGAAACGACUGAUAAUACCGCAUACGGAAGGAGGGGAUUGCGUCUAAUUAGCUAGUUGGAGGGGUAACGGCCCACCAAGGCGAUGAUCAGUAGGCUGGUUGGGAGGAUGAACGGGCACAAUGGGACCGAGACACGGCCCAGACUCCCUCGGGGAGCAGCAGGUGGGAAUCUUCCGCCAUGGACGAAAGUCUUAAUGAGCCACGCCGGGUGAGUGAUGACGGCCUUCGGGUUGUAAAGCUCUGUUAAGCGGGACGCGGUACCGGAAUAGAAAGCCACGGCUAACUACGUGCCAGCAGCCGCGGUAAUUC
rnacentral:rRNA from 1 species